rfam:Triticum aestivum genome assembly, contig: Triticum_aestivum_CS42_TGACv1_scaffold_571181_7AS
AUGGUACUCCCUCCGUCCGGAAAUACUUGUCAUAGAAAUGGAUACAAAUGGGUGUAUCCAGAACUAAAAUACAUCUAGAUACAUCCAUUCCUUGGACAAGUAUUUCCGGACGGAGGGAGUAUUUA